AUUGAACGCUGGCGGCAUGCUUUACACAUGCAAGUCGAACGGUAACAGGUUAAGCUGACGAGUGGCGAACGGGUGAGUAAUGCAUCGGAACGUGCCCGGUCGUGGGGGAUAACGCAGCGAAAGCUGCGCUAAUACCGCAUACGAUUUGAGGAUGAAAGCGGGGGACCGUAAGGCCUCGCGCGAUCGGAGCGGCCGAUGUUAGAUUAGGUAGUUGGUGGGGUAAAGGCUCACCAAGCCAACGAUCUGUAGUUGGUCUGAGAGGACGACCAGCCACACUGGGACUGAGACACGGCCCAGACUCCUACGGGAGGCAGCAGUGGGGAAUUUUGGACAAUGGGCGAAAGCCUGAUCCAGCAAUGCCGCGUGCAGGAAGAAGGCCUUCGGGUUGUAAACUGCUUUUGUACGGAGCGAAAAGGUCUCCUCUAAUACAGGGGGCUCAUGACGGUACCGUAAGAAUAAGCACCGGCUAACUACGUGCCAGCCGCCGCAGUAA
rnacentral:rRNA from 1 species